AAAUUGUCGUAUGUGCAAAGCUCCAUGUGUUGGAGCUUUUUGGCUGAGCAUAGUGUUUGAAAAAAUAAUCAAAAUUAACUUUCAUAGCAUUAUACACCGGCAAACAAGUUCCACAUCAGCCCACAAGCUUUACGAAAAUGCAACCGCCUCGUGUAUUGACAAAAGAAGAAAGAGACAAGUGGGAGUUGAUAAGAAUAGCCAAAAGCAUGAAACGGACUUUUGAAAAACGUGCAGAGAUAAAUAUGUCGAGGGAGUGUAAAACAAAAACGAUGUACCGUUAAAUAUGCAUAUUUAUAUCAUAUCCCAGUUAGCUAUCAUAGCAGCACUCCAAAGAAAAUACCGUUCUCUUAGCAGUUCGAAAAAAAAAACUUUUGCGAGAGUUUCAAAUCAACUUUUGCUCCCGAGCGGAUUAAAUGCAUUCUUAACAACACUUGAUAGGGUAAAUCGUGGAUCAGGGUUCUCUGCAUAUUAUCAAGAUUUUCGCCAAAGCAUGAAGGAGCGGGCUUUUCAGUGGUUAAUUAAGUUUUUUCCCGAAUUGUCAUACACAAAAAGCAGAGUCUGAUAUUUCAAAAACGAUUCGCCAUUUUUUGACCGAAAAUCUCCGAAUUUGUAGUAGAUCUCAAUGGCAAUAUAUUGACAUGAUAACGAAAGACUGAAGCUAAAAUAUCUAAAGAUACUUUUCCUGCAAUCCCAUACAGCAUUCCCAUCACGAGUUAUUCGCCGACAACUUAUACGAUGCUAGCGACGAACAAGGAGAGCGGCAACGGCAAGAUCUAGCCAACAUCGAAAGAUGAUAUCAAGAAGUUCGGGGUGAAGGCAUAAUGAGUAACUAUUGUUGGACUGUAAUAAUUGAAACAGACAUCAAGUCACGUUUUCAAAAAUUUCAAAAAAUCAAAAUUUUUUCUAGUAAAUUGCUGGAGUAUAGUCUUAGGAACAAAACAGAAAUAGUCCCGAAAGUCCGCAAGAACAAGAAUUAAGUAUAGCAGAGGGGAGAGCGGAACGCGCCAAGCGGUAAAUCCAGUCGCUCGAGCACUUUAAUCGCCUUUUUCUCGAAACCACGUUUUUUCAAACUGGACACUCUUGUUUAGAGCCGAUUGUACUUAUCAAAAUGAACUAAAUGACAUUUUACUCCUAAAAUUAUUCUCUACGGUCGGUACU